AGAGUUUGAUCCUGGCUCAGGAUGAACGCUGGCGGCGUGCUUAACACAUGCAAGUCGAACGAGCCUUCGGGCUAGUGGCGGACGGGUGAGUAACGCGUGGGAAUCUGCCCUCAGGAGGGGGAUAACGGCCGGAAACGGCCGCUAAUACCCCAUAUGCCGAGAGGUGAAACGAAUUUCGCCUGAGGAUGAGCCCGCGUCUGAUUAGCUAGUUGGUGAGGUAAUGGCUCACCAAGGCAUCGAUCAGUAGCUGGUCUGAGAGGAUGAUCAGCCACACUGGGACUGAGACACGGCCCAGACUCCUACGGGAGGCAGCAGUGGGGAAUUUUCCGCAAUGGGCGCAAGCCUGACGGAGCAACGCCGCGUGAGGGACGAAGGCCUCUGGGCUGUAAACCUCUUUUCUCAAGGAAGAAGACAUGACGGUACUUGAGGAAUAAGCCACGGCUAAUUCCGUGCCAGCAGCCGCGGUAAUACGGGAGUGGCAAGCGUUAUCCGGAAUUAUUGGGCGUAAAGCGUCCGCAGGCGGCCUUGAAAGUCUGUUGUUAAAGCGUGGAGCUCAACUCCAUUUCAGCAAUGGAAACUACAAGGCUAGAGUGUGGUAGGGGCAGAGGGAAUUCCCGGUGUAGCGGUGAAAUGCGUAGAUAUCGGGAAGAACACCAGUGGCGAAGGCGCUCUGCUGGGCCAUAACUGACGCUCAUGGACGAAAGCCAGGGGAGCGAAAGGGAUUAGAUACCCCUGUAGUCCUGGCCGUAAACGAUGAACACUAGGUGUCGGGAGAAUUAACCCUUCCGGUGUCGUAGCCAACGCGUUAAGUGUUCCGCCUGGGGAGUACGCACGCAAGUGUGAAACUCAAAGGAAUUGACGGGGGCCCGCACAAGCGGUGGAGUAUGUGGUUUAAUUCGAUGCAACGCGAAGAACCUUACCAGGGUUUGACAUCCUGCGAAUCCCUUGGAAACUUGGGAGUGCCUUCGGGAACGCAGUGACAGGUGGUGCAUGGCUGUCGUCAGCUCGUGUCGUGAGAUGUUGGGUUAAGUCCCGCAACGAGCGCAACCCACGUCUUUAGUUGCCAGCAUUUAGUUGGGCACUCUAGAGAGACCGCCGGUGAUAAACCGGAGGAAGGUGUGGAUGACGUCAAGUCAUCAUGCCCCUUACAUCCUGGGCUACACACGUACUACAAUGCUACGGACAAAGGGCAGCAAACUCGCGGGAGCUAGCAAAUCCCAUAAACCGUGGCUCAGUUCAGAUCGUAGGCUGCAACUCGCCUACGUGAAGGAGGAAUCGCUAGUAAUCGCAGGUCAGCAUACUGCGGUGAAUACGUUCCCGGGCCUUGUACACACCGCCCGUCACACCAUGGAAGUUGGCCAUGCCCGAAGUCGUUACUCCAACCG
rnacentral:rRNA from 1 species